UACGAAGGGGGCUAGCGUUGCUCGGAAUCACUGGGACGUAAAGCGCACGUAGGCGGAUCUUUAAGUCAGGGGUGAAAGUCCUGGAAGCUCAACUCCAGAACUGCCUUUGAUACUGGGGGAUCUCGAGUCCGGAAGAGGUUGGUGGAACUGACGAGUGUAGAGGUGAAAUUCGUAGAUAUUCGCAAGAACACCGGUGGCGAAGGCGGCCAACUGGUCCGAUACUGACGCUGAGCGACGAAAGCGUGGGUAGCAAACAGGA
rnacentral:rRNA from 1 species